rnacentral:tRNA from 1 species
GGGUCUUUAGCUCAGUUGGUUAGAGCGUCGAGCUCAUAACUCGGUGGUCGUGGGUUCAAGUCCCUCAAGACCCA